rnacentral:rRNA from 1 species
CCGCCCAGAGGUAAACGGGUGGAUCCGCAUAGUCGGUCCGCGGAAUUCAGCGCGGCGCGCGGUCCGGGGCUGCCGCUGUUUGGGAUCCUACUGGAACCGACAGUGGUGCCGAGCCGGGCCCCGCCGCGUGCACUUUCCGCGGACGGAGAGCCACAACCGGUUUGGUGGGCGGUCACGAGCCGGGAAUGGUUGUCGGUGGGGGCGCUCGCGUCCCCACCAGCCUUUCUCGGCGAGCCGCCCGCAGACCGUGGAACCGCCGCGCGCUUCGAGGCCACCCUCCCUUCCGGGUGAGUUCGACAGGGAGAGACUGGGCAACCGUGUCUCCCGACCGCUCACUCGCGACCGGCGUGGGGCUGGCCGGGCGAGCAGGAAAAAUCUUGGGUUGGUGGCAAGUCUGUCGGCACUCCACCCGACCCGUCUUGAAACACGGACCAAGGAGUCUAACAUGCGCGCGAGUCAUUGGGAUUUACGAAACCCAAAGGCGCAGUGAAAGCGAGGGCCUGUCAAAGGGCCCAGGUGGGAUCCUGUCACUCCCUCGGCGCCGAG